UAGGGAAUAUUGCACAAUGGGCGAAAGCCUGAUGCAGCGACGCCGCGUGAGUGAUGACGGUCUUCGGAUUGUAAAGCUCUGUUGUUAGGGAAUAAGAAAGUGAAUGUACCUGACGAGAAAGCACCGGCUAACUUCGUGCCAGCAGCCGCGGUAAUACGAGGGGUGCAAGCGUUGUUCGGAAUCAUUGGGCGUAAAGCGGGUGUAGGUGGCCAUAUAAGUCAGGGGUGAAAGCCCAGGGCUCAACCCUGGAAGUGCCUUUGAUACUGUAUGGCUUGAGUGUGGGAGAGGGUGCUAGAAUACCUGGUGUAGUGGUGAAAUACGUAGAGAUCAGGUGGAACACCGGCGGUGAAGACGGGUGCCUGGCCCAACACUGACACUCAGACCCGAAAGCGUGGGGAUCAAACAGG
rnacentral:rRNA from 1 species